UACGAACCGUGCUAACGUUGUUCGGAAUCACUGGGCUUAAAGGGCGCGUAGGCGGGCAUGCAAGUCAGGGGUGAAAGCCCACGGCUCAACCGUGGAAGUGCCUUUGAUACUGCGUGUCUUGAGCGAGGUAGGGGCGUGCGGAACUUCCGGUGGAGCGGUGAAAUGCGUAGAUAUCGGGAGGAACACCAGUGGCGAAGGCGGCUUUCUGGUCUGCUCUUGACGCUGAGGCGCGAAAGCUAGGGUAGCAAACGGG
rnacentral:rRNA from 1 species